rnacentral:miRNA from 1 species
GCCGGCUGGGCUGGGCUGGGCUGGGCUGGGCAGGGCUGGGCAGGGAGGGGUCCCAGGGCUCACAGCUUCCUGGUCCUGCCUCCCGC